GCCAGGUGCGGUGGCUCACACCUGUAAUCCCAGCACUUUAGGAGGCCUAGGAAGGAGGAUCACUUGAGCCCAGGAGUUUGAGACCAGCCUGGGCAACAUGGUGAGACUCUUGUCUCUACAAAAAUUUUAAAAAUUAGCUGGGCAUGGUGGUGUGUACCUGUGGUCCCAGCUACUCAGGAGGCUUAGGUGGGAGGAUCACUUGAGCCCAGGAGGUUGACGCUGCAGUGAUCCAUGAUUGCACCACUGCACUCUAGCCUGGGCAACACAGUGAGACCCUCUCUAA
rnacentral:sRNA from 1 species